CGAGUUUGAUCCUGGCUCAGAUUGAACGCUGGCGGAAUGCUUUACACAUGCAAGUCGGGCGGCAGCGCGGGGGCAACCCUGGCGGCGAGCGGCGAACGGGUGAGUAAUGCAUCGGAACGUACCCAAUUGUGGGGGAUAACCAUCCGAAAGGAUGGCUAAUACCGCAUAAGUCCUGAGGGAGAAAGCAGGGGAUCGCAAGACCUUGCGCAAAUGGAGCGGCCGAUGCCGGAUUAGCUAGUUGGUAGGGUAAAGGCCUACCAAGGCGACGAUCCGUAGCUGGUCUGAGAGGAUGAUCAGCCACACUGGAACUGAGACACGGUCCAGACUCCUACGGGAGGCAGCAGUGGGGAAUUUUGGACAAUGGGCGCAAGCCUGAUCCAGCCAUUCCGCGUGAGUGAAGAAGGCCUUCGGGUUGUAAAGCUCUUUCGGCAGGAACGAAACGGUGAGGGCUAAUAUCCCUUACUAAUGACGGUACCUGAAGAAGAAGCACCGGCUAACUACGUG
rnacentral:rRNA from 1 species